UACAGAGGGUGCAAGCGUUAAUCGGAAUUACUGGGCGUAAAGGGCUUGUAGGCGGUUAUAUAAGUUAGAUGUGAAAACCCCGGGCUCAACCUGGGACGUGCAUUUAAUACUGUAUAGCUAGAGUAUGGUAGAGGAAAGGGGAAUUUCCGGUGUAGCAGUGAAAUGCGUAGAUAUCGGAAGGAACAUCAGUGGCGAAGGCGCCUUUCUGGACUAAUACUGACGCUGAGGAGCGAAGGCGUGGGGAGCAAACAGG
rnacentral:rRNA from 1 species